rnacentral:rRNA from 1 species
GACGGGGGGGGCAAGUGUUCUUCGGAAUGACUGGGCGUAAAGGGCACGUAGGCGGUGAAUCGGGUUGAAAGUGAAAGUCGCCAAAAAGUGGCGGAAUGCUCUCGAAACCAAUUCACUUGAGUGAGACAGAGGAGAGUGGAAUUUCGUGUGUAGGGUGAAAUCCGUAGAUCUACGAAGGAACGCCAAAAGCGAAGGCAGCUCUCUGGGUCCCUACCGACGCUGGGGUGCGAAAGCAUGG